GCUUCGAUAGCUCAGUCGGUAGAGCAGGGGAUUGAAAAUCCCCGUGUCGGUGGUUCGAUUCCGCCUCGAGGCACCA
rnacentral:tRNA from 2 species